GCAGCACGGGAGAGUGCAAUGAACCCUAUCGCAGCAACAGGAGGAAGAGGGAACAGGGGACGUAACUCAUCUGUACUUAUGGACUGGAAGUUACGGGAGGAAAGACGUGAAAAAGUAUGAUGUGAGAGGACGGGUGACGUGGAGCAGCAUUAAGUGGUGCUUGGAGAGAGGGAUCAUUUCAGUAUCAUUUCCACUUAAGAGUUUAGUAAUAGAGCGGGUGGCGGGCCUCUGGGACCACCUGGGCCUGGUGCUGUGGCCGUGCUAUGGUGACGGAGAGCCCCUUUUGGCAAAGCACAGUCGGAGGAGCACCCCUGGAGAACUUGUUCAGGUGCAUCAGUACCCCCAGCAGCCGCCAGGCCCGCCCCAGGCCCUGCUCCCGGCGGGCGGGCGGGCGGCUGUGAGGCUGCACAGUGGAGCUGCCCUCGGACCGCGCUGCCCCCGGACCUGCACCCCUGGGACAUGUGAGAAUUGCUUCAUCUCAGAAUCUUAUUUUUUUGAACAAACCCGGGGCACGGCAGGUGUGCGGGAGCGGCGCCCGAGGCGCGCAGGGCGGGGAGACGCGGCCGCUCACCGGGCCCAGCCCCGCCGGGCGCUGCCGCUGCCGCUCCUGGGAGAUGUAGUUUGUCGCGCCCUCCCGCCCAGCGCCAUGGCCGUCCCGGGAGUUUGGAACAUGUGAGGAGCUGCCAGAGGAAUCACUAAUAUUUUCAUUUCUGCUUCUUCAGAAGUGUGACGCUCGCUGGUGCUGGACGCAGCCUGCUGUGGGACAGGCAAUAUCACGCAGCCAAGAUGGUGGCAUUUAAUUGGAAGGUGAGGAUGUUUCACAUUCAUAAAGCAGUGAAUUUCUGCUCUUUCAAGCAAAUGCAUGUAAGGUCUGGGUGGGGUGGGUCCUGUGUUUAUAAAGAUGGCUUUGUUGCCUAGGUGAAGGUUGUUUAACCACCACAGUGUCUGCACCUCAGGGACAGAGGACUCGUUGUUGUCCUUUCUUGCUAUACAUGCUUGCACCUUGCGGGCUGGCCCCAGUACUUGCUGUUGGGGCCUCACAGUGCCUACCUGAGCACAACGCUGGUAGACAAGCUCUGCUCUCUCUGCUUGCCUCUGCUCCUCCUGGCUUUCCUCUUUCCAGGCCUUUCCAGCUCCUCUUUCCUCAAUUCCUUUCAUUACUGGAGAGUGUUUUCUCCACUGUGUCUUUUAGUGUAUUGGGGCCAUAAACACUCUGUAGGGUACAUGUGUAAGGCACAGAAGUGUCUGAGCAAGUACCUCAUGCAUUAGCAGUUUUAACAUGUGAAACCAUUUCUCAAGAAAGCAAUGCUAACCCCAAGCCUUGGCUUUACCUUUCUGGUGUUGCAGAACUGUGCUUUAAGAGAUUGCCACUUCUAAUAUGCUGAGAGAUGGACAGAGCAUGAUUUUUUUUUUUUUCCAAAAUUAGAGGGGAGUGGUCUGAUGUCAAAUGUAGCGUUGCAGCUUGUAGAGAUCAGCAUUAUAAAAGACCUCACUUUAGCCUCUGAUUUGUGGACUUUAAGGGGACAGACUAGUUGGUGUAUAGAUACAAGGCUUUUUCUAAAUUCAGUAGUUUGACAAUGACCAAACAACUUUAGAGGUGCUGGAAGGCCUGCUAAGGGUACAAGGAGGGUACUGGAAGGCUUGCUAAGGAGGAGCUGGCACUGUGAACCUACUGUGCUCCCCUGAAAGACCAGACUGAUCCUGCUGGCCAGGUGGCUCUUUGAAAUAUUGGGCUGGGAAGUUCAUGUGCCUUCAGUAUCAGUCUGGAACUAACAUCUUUCACUGAGUGCUUGUGCCACUCAUAUUUGUAUUCCAUGUUCACAGUGUUAUGCAUUUGCAUUUUAUUUUUUAUUCCACAUACACUUAUGGCAGGAUGCUUUUAGAACAUUUAAAUAUGUUGUGCAAUUUCAGUGGUUCCAGGCAUUAAAAACUCCUGAAACUGAAUCAUUGGAGUCUUGGGGUUUUUUACUUUUCUUCUACUUGAAAGGCAUUUAUCUAUACCUUCCAGAUCUGGGCAAGUUAAUUGCAAAACUACCAUGGAUUAAAAUUUCUAGGAGCACAAAAGUGGUUUUGGGGAUCACAUUUGAUAGCUGAUAUGCACAGAUCCAUCGCUGAUGUGAGAAUUGUACAGCAGCAUUCCUACUUUUACAGUUAGCCUACGAUACUCGGUUCUUCCCCCUUUUCAGCUCCAGAUCGUGCCAAUAUUCUGUUUGCUGUAACGCAAGCAAAAGCAACAAAGACCUGUUCAAAGGGGCUUCAUAUACAAACUUGAAUUAACUUGGUUUUGUCCUUUCCCCAGAUGUUGAUCUGCCUAGUUUAAAGUUUUCUACAGAAAAAUCCCGCAUGAACAGAGGAACAUUACCAUUACUUUGAAUAAUGCUGUUGCUGUAGGAAGCUGUAUAGCAUCUCUGUAGAUUAAUUUUUAAUUGUCCAAGUGUUCCAGUAACUACCUAAAUAUAUUAUUUUGCAUUUCAGGCUUUGGAGAAUUUCCCAUUGCUGAUGUACAUUUUGGCAGCUAAAACAUUGAUUCUUUGCUUAGCCUUUGCUGGAGUAAAAAUGUACCAGAGCAAAAAAAUUGAAGAAAAACUGAAGAGGGAACGUGAAGAGAAACAGAAAACAGAAGCAGAGAAGAAGUAUGAUUGAAGAGUCUCUCAG
ensembl:lncRNA